AUUGAACGCUGGCGGCAGGCCUAACACAUGCAAGUCGAGCGAGCGGCGGACGGGUGAGUAAUGUCUGGGGAACUGCCUGAUGGAGGGGGAUAACUACUGGAAACGGUAGCUAAUACCGCAUACUAUCAGAUGUGCCCAGAUGGGAUUAGCUGGUAGGGGGGGUAACGGCUCACCUAGGCGACGAUCCCUAGCUGGUCUGAGAGGAUGACCAGCCACACGGGACCUGAGACAAGGUCCAGACUCCUACGGGAGGCAGCAGUGGGGAAUAUUGCACAAUGGGCGCAAGCCUGAUGCAGCCAUGCCGCGUGUGUGAAGAAGGCCGUCGGGUUGUAAAGCACUUUCAGCGGGGAGGCGUUACCCGCAGAAGAAGCACCGGCUAACUCCGUGCCAGCAGCCGCGGUAAUAC
rnacentral:rRNA from 1 species